UGCUAAGUGUAUCCAGAGCAUGAGGAGUACU
rnacentral:piRNA from 1 species